rnacentral:rRNA from 1 species
GGACCGGAGUGGACGAACCUCUGGUGUUCCGGUUGUCACGCCAGUGGCAUUGCCGGGUAGCUAUGUUCGGAAAAGAUAACCGCUGAAAGCAUCUAAGCGGGAAACUUGCCUCAAGAUGAGAUCUCACUGGGAACUUGAUUCCCCUGAAGGGCCGUCGAAGACUACGACGUUGAUAGGCUGGGUGUGUAAGCGUUGUGAGGCGUUGAGCUAACCAGUACUAAUUGCCCGUGAGGCUUGACCAUAUAACACCCAAACA